rnacentral:rRNA from 1 species
UACGUAGGGUCCGAGCGUUGUCCGGAAUUAUUGGGCGUAAAGGGCUCGUAGGCGGUUUGUCGCGUCGGGAGUGAAAACACCGGGCUCAACUCGGUGCUUGCUUUCGAUACGGGCAGACUAGAGGUAUGCAGGGGAGAGUGGAAUUCCUGGUGUAGCGGUGAAAUGCGCAGAUAUCAGGAAGAACACCCGUGGCGAAGGCGGCUCUCUGGGACGGUACUGACGCUGAGACGCGAAAGCGUGGGGAGCGAACAGG